UGUUCAUACUGUAAUCCACUCUCCAUUUCUCCAUCUUCUAGGGAUUUUUGAACACAAAAUCAGUUGACCACGUGGGAUCUAGCUCCCUUAACAACUAGGGUACAUGGCCGGUCCAGUUUGGGGAUCUGUAAGCCACUAUAUUUGAGGGACAGGAGACUCCUGCUGCAGCAGCUUAUACCUUUUGGCCUUACUUAAGACUGAGCAGUCCCCGGCCUACAGAACGUCCCAGCCAGGGCCGACUGGGGGAUACUGUGGAUUCAGAGAGAGCCACAGGCCUGAAGUGCGGCCGAAUCAUUUGUCUCCGGGGUUCCUGAUGCAGCGCUAACCCCUAUCACAGUGUACAAAGAAAAAUCCACUGUCCAUCUCCCCAGUCCUUUAAAACAGCUGCUUAAAAUGCUUAGUUGAAGAUGUAUGAAUAGUGACCGGCUCAAUUGGGCACAGUGAAGGAAUUACAGUUUAUUCAGACGCUGACAUGCUGCUGAUUGAAGCACAAAGAGGAGUAAUCAAGGCCCAGAGAAACCACAAGAGGCCCCUCAGCUGGGAGGUGUCCACCCUGAUGUCCUCAAGGACCGGCACAGUGACCACAGAGUGGUCCGUGGACUCGGGGCUCACCUGUGAGAUGAAUUUGGGCAGGCCCGUUUGCCUCUGUAUAUGUCACUGAGACAGGGGCCUCAGUGCCUGGCAGGGCCCCUGUGAUACCUGGCAGAUCUCAUAUCCAACGGACCCAAAGACUUGGCGACUGUUUCCUCUCUCCAGUGAGCAGCUGCUGUGGUAAAUGGCUGGAGGUU